AUUGAACGCUGGCGGCAGGCCUAACACAUGCAAGUCGAGCGGAUGAGUGGAGCUUGCUCCAUGAUUCAGCGGCGGACGGGUGAGUAAUGCCUAGGAAUCUGCCUGGUAGUGGGGGACAACGUUUCGAAAGGAACGCUAAUACCGCAUACGUCCUAGGGGAGAAAGUGGGGGAUGUUCGGACCUCACGCUAUCAGAUGAGCCUAGGUCGGAUUAGCUAGUUGGUGAGGUAAAGGCUCACCAAGGCGACGAUCCGUAACUGGUCUGAGAGGAUGAUCAGUCACACUGGAACUGAGACACGGUCCAGACUCCUACGGGAGGCAGCAGUGGGGAAUAUUGGACAAUGGGCGAAAGCCUGAUCCAGCCAUGCCGCGUGUGUGAAGAAGGUCUUCGGAUUGUAAAGCACUUUAAGUUGGGAGGAAGGGCAGUAAGUUAAUACCUUGCUGUUUUGACGUUACCAACAGAAUAAGCACCGGCUAACUUCGUGCCAGCAGCCGCGGUAACAC
rnacentral:rRNA from 1 species